CAGACUUGUGCUCUUCUAAUUUUGUUUUUUACUUUGUUAUUGUUCUCUCUUUUUUUUUGGCCACCACAUGUGGCUUGCAGGAUUUUGGUUCAUGAGUUGGGGGUUGGGCCAAAGCUCCUGAAGUGGGAGUUAUGAGUCUGAAUCACUGGAAUAAUAGAGAAACUCAGACCCCAGUAUAUAUUCAUCAGAGUGAGUUCUCCUAGAGGUCCUCAUCUCGGCCCAAGACACAGCUCUAUUCAACAGCCUACAAACUCCAGUGCUGGAAGCCUCAGGCCAAACAACCAGUAAGACAGGAACACAAUCUCACUCAUAAAAAAAAAAAAA